CACAAUUUCAAUUUUCGAAAUAAAUGUAGUCGUCUCGUGUCAACUCUCUUUAUGGAAUCGCUUCACACACACUCGGUGCUGUUUAGCAGGGCCAGCCCAGACAUCAUAACCACAAGAUAUGCCAGUUUUCCUUGUGCCUGUCGUCAGCAACAAAUUCACCGCUUGGGUAAUGUCAUGCAGUACUUAAUGGAUUAAACAGGAUCCCUCUUGAUUUGGAGAAACUAUAGCGAUGAGACGGUCGAGUUCUUCUCUUGAAAUCCCCUCUGCCCUCGUGUAUGCCCAUGUGUUUGUGGGUGUAUUCACGAGGACGUCCAUUUCCCUACCUUGUCUGGUGGGUUCAACUUUUCAGCGGAUGGAUGGAGCAGCACUUGUGGAUGCCUGGCCGUAUAUUUCCCAGGCUUAAAGACUCUGAAAUCUUUGGACUACGUACUCAGGACUACUCACAUAGGAGCAAUAACUGGUUGGUGGUCUUUCCUCACUUGUUGCGCUAUAUAAAUGGUAAUUUCUGCUUGCAUUCUUUAAUAUUAUUUAAUUGUUUUGUGUGGUGUGUGGAAUGUGCCAUCACAGUAACAAAGGUAACAACCAAAACUAGCUUUAUCAAAGUAAUUUUGCUGAAACUUAUUCUGUUCAUCCUUUAUAGGUAUUCAUCUCUCAUUCCAUCUUCUAGAGAACCUAGGAUAACCAGUGGUUGUUGAAGUUUGUUAACUUUUUUUUUUUUCUAAAGGUGGGGUUAGAAUAUUUUUCUCAAGGUUGGGGGUUGGGGCAUUGGUCGGGGUUGAAAUUUUCUUAUGGCGACGUUUUGAAGUAAUAGCCAAUGGAACGAAGGUGGUAAAUUUUUAAUUUUUUUUUCUACGUUUUAUCAAUGUUACGACUACAAGUUGUUGUUGAAGGUUGUUUUUUUGUUAAAAGUUAAAACUUAAAAGGUCGGGUUAGAAUUUUGAUCAAAAGGUUGGGGCAUGGGUUAGGGUUAGAAUUUUUGUCAAAAGAUGGGGUUAAAAUUCGUCCACCGGAGGGGUUUGGUGUUUCAGUCAGUUACCUAAGUCAACAGUCAAUUCAGGUGCAGCCUGUAGAACUAGGGCGUUGCACGGUCUGCGUGUUAGUCAUGUCAGCGAACUUCAAAGUUUUGCAUCGUGAAGAUAAAAGACCCACUCCCAGUGAGUCGUCUGACCGUUCUGCUGACCAUGUGUCCUGAAAGUGCUGGCCGUAUGCAGAAAUGUCGUCUCGUACUAGAUAGUAGAAACUUCAAUGGA